GAGCUAUGUUUUACUGCAGUAACAAACAGUCCCAGCAUCUCAGGAGCUCGUUAAUGACAAAGGUCGAUUUCUUAUUCAGAUUGAGGAUGUGAAUCCUCAGUUACUGUCUCAUUAUUUAUUGGUUGCGGGUCGCUGCAGCUCUGCUCUGGGUCAUAGGUUAAAGGUACAGCCCAUUCCUGGGGCAGGCUAUUCCCAUAGCAGAGAGAAACCACACGACAAAGCCACUUCUCAAAAGUUUAGCUCACACUCUGUUGCCUAGAGGAAGUCACACAGCCAAGCCUGACUUCAGUCGGGAGGGUCACCAGGGAAUUGCCAAUGGGAUAAAUACUUCGACAAUAAUACAAUCUACCACAUCUACUGUAAGGGGAAAACCAGCACCACUUGCUCUCAAUAGAAAGUGACCACAAAAAGUGGGAGGCUGCUGUUUGAGACUCCAACCUGGGUCAAAAUGCUUGCAGAUGGGUUUUAUGGAAUCCCAAUAUACCUGGGAAAGCUGACUGGAGUUGCAAGAGGGGUGUCUCGCAAGUGGAGUCAGCUUUUGAGUGUUUCCGUGAAGAGACACAGAAAAGUACAAAGAAGAAAACUAAAAAGGUGACCCAGAGAGAACCACUCUAAGAUGUUCAUGGGAAUUCAGCUCAGCUUGUGUAUUUAUAUUGAGAUCCUAUAUUGAGAUCCCACUGUUGUCUGCUUUUUCAUUUUUCAUGAAAAUAAAACUUGACUCAAAGUUUCAUUUUAAAAUACCUUUGCUUAUUACUAUUAUUUGAAUACUUAGACAUUCAAAAUGUUCAAAAGGUGUCCAGGGAGAAGUGAGGCUGCCUCCCACUCCAGCCUCUGUUGAUCAGUUUCUUGUGUGCACUUCCUUCCCUGGGUCUAAGUCCCCUGCAGACCUGUGAGUUCCAGCUCUCCUGCUCCCAUUCAUUUUGAGUUUUUUUGUGUGUUCACUCGAUUACAAAUCAUGACAUUAUUUUAAAAAUCAGAACCUACAGACAAUCAAAAGAAAGAGGAGCAUAAGAAAAGUGGAAUCAAGCCAGGUGUGGUGACACAUGCCUAUAAUCCGAGCACUUUGAGAGGCUGAAACAGGAGGAUUACUUGAGCUCAGGAGUUCAAGAUCAGCCUGGGCAACACAGCGAGACCUUCAUCUCUACAAAAUUUAAAAAAAAAAAAAAAAGGAAAUUAGCCAGGUGUGGUGGUGCACGCCUGUGGCCCAGCUACUCGGGAGGCCAAGGUGGGAGAUGACUUGAGCCCAAGGAGGUCAAGGCUGCAGUGAGCCAUGAUCACACCACUGCACUCCAACC
rnacentral:lncRNA from 1 species